GAUGAACGCUGGCGGCGUGCCUAAUACAUGCAAGUCGAGCGAACAGACGAGGAGCUUGCUCCUCUGACGUUAGCGGCGGACGGGUGAGUAACACGUGGAUAACCUACCUAUAAGACUGGGAUAACUUCGGGAAACCGGAGCUAAUACCGGAUAAUAUAUUGAACCGCAUGGUUCAAUAGUGAAAGACGGUUUUGCUGUCACUUAUAGAUGGAUCCGCGCCGCAUUAGCUAGUUGGUAAGGUAACGGCUUACCAAGGCAACGAUGCGUAGCCGACCUGAGAGGGUGAUCGGCCACACUGGAACUGAGACACGGUCCAGACUCCUACGGGAGGCAGCAGUAGGGAAUCUUCCGCAAUGGGCGAAAGCCUGACGGAGCAACGCCGCGUGAGUGAUGAAGGUCUUCGGAUCGUAAAACUCUGCUAUUAGGGAAGAACAAAUGUGUAAGUAACUAUGCACGUCUUGACGGUACCUAAGCAGAAAGCCACGGCUAACUACGU
rnacentral:rRNA from 1 species